GAGAUCAUUCCAACACUAAUGCACCAGAUCCUCUCAAAAUUCUGUUGUUAAGCGUGCUUGGGUGUGAGUAGUACUAGGAUGGGUGACCUCCCGGGAAGUCCUCUUGUUGUACCCU